AUUGAACGCUGGCGGCAUGCCUUACACAUGCAAGUCGAACGGCAGCACGGGUGCUUGCACCUGGUGGCGAGUGGCGAACGGGUGAGUAAUACAUCGGAACAUGUCCUGUAGUGGGGGAUAGCCCGGCGAAAGCCGGAUUAAUACCGCAUACGAUCUACGGAUGAAAGCGGGGGACCUUCGGGCCUCGCGCUAUAGGGUUGGCCGAUGGCUGAUUAGCUAGUUGGUGGGGUAAAGGCCUACCAAGGCGACGAUCAGUAGCUGGUCUGAGAGGACGACCAGCCACACUGGGACUGAGACACGGCCCAGACUCCUACGGGAGGCAGCAGUGGGGAAUUUGGGACAAUGGGCGAAAGCCUGAUCCAGCAAUGCCGCGUGUGUGAAGAAGGCCUGCGGGUUGUAAAGCACUUUUGUCCGGAAAGAAAUCCUUGGCCCUAAUACGGUCGGGGGAUGACGGUACCGGAAGAAUAAGCACCGGCUAACUACGU
rnacentral:rRNA from 1 species